UACAGAGGUCCCGAGCGUUGUUCGGAUUCAUUGGGCGUAAAGGGUGCGUAGGCGGCUUCCUAAGUUUGAUGUGAAAUCCUGGGGCUCAACCCUGGAACUGCAUUGAAUACUGGGAGGCUAGAGUACUGGAGAGGAAACUGGAAUUUACGGUGUAGCAGUGAAAUGCGUAGAGAUCGUAAGGAACACCAGUAGCGAAGGCGGCACUCUGGGCCGGUACUGACGCUGAGGAGCGAAAGCGUGGGGAGCGAACAGG
rnacentral:rRNA from 1 species